UACGCAUAUUACGUGAACUGAGCGUAGAUUAAUUGGGUAGGUUACUCGUAAUUAAACUUACUUAUAUGUAUUUUAACUACUAAGGUAUUCAUAUUUAGAGAUAUAUCGGUACAGCAUUUUAGAGAUAUAUCUGAAAGAAACUACGCGAAAAAAGAACAAUGGCAGCAACAUCACAUUCAGCAAGAGACCAUGCCAUGACAUCGACAGUUUGCGGUUUGUAUCACUCGAAGAAUCGUUGUCCUCGACGCCUCGUGGCUAAAGUUUCCAGCUCUGCAAUUGCAAAUUUGCAAUGGUAACAUCAUAAGGCCCCGUUUACUUCCUAAAAAAUUUUC
rnacentral:lncRNA from 1 species